GACGAACGCUGGCGGCGUGCUUAACACAUGCGAGUCGAGCGAGGCCCCUCCUUCGGGAGGGUGUCCUAGCGGCGAACGGGUGAGUAACACGUGGGCAACCUGCCCUCAGCUCUGGGAUAACUCCGGGAAACCGGGGCUAAUACCGGAUACGACCUCCACGGGCAUCUGCGGAGGUGGAAAGUUUUUCGGCUGAGGAUGGGCCCGCGGCCUAUCAGCUAGUUGGUGGGGUAGUGGCCCACCAAGGCGACGACGGGUAGCCGGCCUGAGAGGGCGACCGGCCACACUGGGACUGAGACACGGCCCAGACUCCUACGGGAGGCAGCAGUGGGGAAUAUUGCGCAAUGGGCGAAAGCCUGACGCAGCGACGUCGCGUGAGGGACGAAGGCCUUCGGGUUGUAAACCUCUUUCAGCAGGGACGAAGCGAAAGUGACGGUACCUGCAGAAGAAGCACCGGCCAACUACGUG
rnacentral:rRNA from 1 species